rnacentral:tRNA from 1 species
GCCCAGGUGGCGGAAUUGGUAGACGCGCUGGUCUCAAACACCAGUGAGGAAACUCGUGCCGGUUCGAUCCCGGCCCUGGGUA